UACGUAGGUGGCAAGCGUUGUCCGGAAUUAUUGGGCGUAAAGCGCGCGCAGGCGGUCCUUUAAGUCUGAUGUGAAAGCCCACGGCUCAACCGUGGAAGGUCAUUGGAAACUGGGGGACUUGAGUGCAGAAGAGGAAAGCGGAAUUCCAAGUGUAGCGGUGAAAUGCGUAGAGAUUUGGAGGAACACCAGUGGCGAAGGCGGCUUUCUGGUCUGUAACUGACGCUGAGGUGCGAAAGCGUGGGGAGCAAACAGG
rnacentral:rRNA from 1 species